rnacentral:lncRNA from 1 species
UAACGCACACUGUUGCUUCUCCCCCAUUAUCUUCUCUCUGCUUAAGGAUUAAUUAUACGAGAAGUCAUAUCUGAGUUAAAACCCUAGAAUUCCCCAACUUGGUUCAGAUGCAACAAAUCCUCUUUUGCUCUGCAACCUCUGAUAGGAAAAUUUUCUUCUCCUGCUGCCCCCACCAGAAAUUACUGGGAUUUGGUAACGUGCUUUUAAUUUUUAAAAGGAUGCGAGAAGGAGAUCAUCCUGGGAAGAAAAAGUAGCGCAUUGAAUCAAAUUUUUAUGGUCUCUGGAUGACAUUUUAAAUGAUGACCACUAUAACCAUGAGAUGCAUGCAAUUAUGGAGGAUCUUUUGUGGAAGACAAAAGUAGCAGCUAAGUAUCAAAAUCAUGGCUUUUAGGAGAUGGUCUUAUCAUGGCCUGUUGAGGAUACUUUGAAUGAUGAAGGUGUUCAAAUUUCUUUAGUCGGAUAUGCUUUCUCUUGGCAAUGUUGUAAAAAUACUUGGAUAUGCUCAUAAUCCAUCACUGACAAGAA